rnacentral:rRNA from 1 species
GAUGAACGCUGGCGGCGUGCCUAAUACAUGCAAGUCGAGCGAACAGACGAGGAGCUUGCUCCCCUGACGUUAGCGGCGGACGGGUGAGUAACACGUGGAUAACCUACCUAUAAGACUGGGAUAACUUCGGGAAACCGGAGCUAAUAACGGAUAAUAUAUUGAACCGCAUGGUGCAAUAGUGAAAGACGGUUUUGCUGACACUUAUAGAUGGAUACGGGCCGGAUUAGCUAGUUGGUGAGGUAACGGCUUACCAAGGCAACGAUGGGUAGCCGACCUGAGAGGGUCAUCGCCCAGCCUGGAACUGAGAAAGGGUCCAGACUCCGACGGGGGGACGCAGUCGGGAAUCUUCCGCAAUGGGCGAAAGCCGAACGGAGCAACACCGCGGGAGUGAUGAAGCUGUUCGGCUGGUAAAACUCUGUUAUUAGGAAGGAAGAAAUGUGUAAGUAACUGUGCACGUAUUGACGGUACCGGAACAGAAAGCCACGGCUAACUACGUG